UACGUAGGGGGCAAGCGUUAUCCGGAUUUACUGGGUGUAAAGGGGGCGCAGACGGCGAUGCAAGCCAGGAGUGAAAGCCCGGGGCCCAACCCCGGGACUGCUCUUGGAACUGCGUGGCUGGAGUGCAGGAGGGGCAGGCGGAAUUCCUGGUGUAGCGGUGAAAUGCGUAGAUAUCAGGAGGAACACCAGUGGCGAAGGCGGCCUACUGGACGGUGACUGACGCUGAGGCUCGAAAGCGUGGGGAGCAAACAGG
rnacentral:rRNA from 1 species